UGAUUUUUUUUCAUUAUAGCUGGUUUACAGUGUUCUGUCAGUGUUCUGUCAAUCUUCUACUGUACAGCAUGGUGACCCAGUUACACACAUAUGUAUACAUUCUUUUUUCUUACAUUAUCGUGCUCCACCAUAAGUGACUAGACAUAGUUCCCAGUGCUACACAGCAGGAUCUCAUUGCUAAUCCAUUCCAAAGGCAAUAGUCUGCAUCUAUUAACCCCAAGUUCCUCGGUUCUAUUGAUAAGCUCCCCAGCAGGGCCACUCAGCAACUGAGCCACUGACAUAAUUUCACUUUUCUAUCAAAACAAUGACUUAUAAAUAGAACUUCAUUUUUUUGGUCAUAAACAAGUUGAUUUGAAAUCCUAUCAAACCACUACAAAACAGGGUAGAAUGAGGGGGAAAAUACCAAGAAACAUUAUGUCUUCAAGAUGUUCAUUAUUGGGAGACAUUUUAACUUCUGCAGCCUCCAAAAAUGAUGUGUAUAAUUGUCAAGUACUACGUGGGUAUGGCAGUUGAUGAGAGCACGUCAUAGCAGACAAAUGUUUAGCUGACAAACUCUUUCCAGACAGGAUGUUUGCAGAGUAAUUUACAUAUUUGUGAUGUACUGAUUACGCAUUAGCCUAUCCACUUUGUUAAAGCAGGGGCAAAAAUUUGUCUAGUCAUACAAGCUUGCUUCCUCUCCCUUUCUUAGCCCUACUGCCUUGUGUAUUUGAAUUUGGCUCUGCAAGCACCAUCAAACCCCUCUUUGGUGCUAGAUCCUGCCCUGUGCAGAUGAGAUUUGGUCUCCAACUUCAAGGGGCUUCCAGUUAUUAUCCAUGGUCAUUGCCAUUUAAAAAAUUGACAUCGAAAAUGAAUGUUGAAAUUUCUGUUUUAGUACUCAAGUAGUCUCUAUGGAACACAGGCAGUAAUGCAACAUAAAGAUAAAUACAAUGAAAACACACUGACAUGCACGGAUACACACUGAACCCCACUCUAGAAAGCUCAACACUGUUAGCAUAUUAACGGUGGCAUUCAGAAGUUCCCACUGUGAUGCAGUGGGUUAAGAUUCCAGCAUAGUUUCUUCACUGUAACUGCAAUGUAUACAUCUAAGGAUGACCUGACCCCCUUGCUGUACAGUGGGAAAAUAAUAAAAAAAAAAAAGAAAAAAAGAAAAAAAAA
rnacentral:lncRNA from 1 species